rnacentral:rRNA from 1 species
GAUGAACGCUGGCGGCGUGCCUAAUACAUGCAAGUCGAGCGAACAGACGAGGAUCUUGCUCCUCUUACGUUAGCGGCGGACGGGUGAGUAACACGUGUAUAACCCACCUAUAAGACUGGGAUAACUUCGGGAAACCGGAGCUAAUACCGGACAAUAUAUUGAACCGUGUGGUUCCUUAGUUAAUGACGGUUUUGCUGUCACUUAUAGACGUAUCCGCGCCGCAUUAGCUAGUUGGUAAGGUAACGGCAUACCAAUGCAACGAUGCGUAGACGACCUGAGAGGGUGAUCGGCCACACUAGAACUGAGACGCGGUCCAGACUCCUACGGGAGGCAGCAGUAGAGAAUCUUCCGCAAUGGGCGAAAGCCUGACGGAGCAACGCCGCGUGAGUGAUGAGAGUCUUCGGAUCGUAAUACUCUGUUAUUAGGGAAGAACAUAUGUGUAAGUAACUGUGCACAUCUUGACGGUACCUAAUCAGAAAGCCACGGCUAACUACGUG